UACGGAGGGUGCGAGCGUUGUCCGGAAUCAUUGGGCGUAAAGGGCGCGUAGGUGGCCUGCUAAGCGUGCGGUGAAAGCUCGGGGCUCAACCCCGAGUCGGCCGUGCGAACUGGUGGGCUUGAGCACUGUAGAGGCAGGCGGAAUUCCGGGUGUAGCGGUGGAAUGCGUAGAGAUCCGGAAGAACACCGGUGGCGAAGGCGGUUCUCUGGGCAGUGGCUGACGCUGAGGCGCGACAGCGUGGGGAGCAAACAGG
rnacentral:rRNA from 1 species